GCUGGGCAUGGUGGUGCACACCUGUAGUCCCUGGUACUUGGGAGGCUGAGGUAGGAGGAUCACUUGAGCCCAGGAGGUGGAGGCUGCAGUGAGCUUUGAAUGUACCACUGCACUCCAGCCUGGGCAACAGAGUGAGACCCUGUCUCAA
ensembl:misc_RNA Metazoa_SRP Metazoan signal recognition particle RNA